CUGAGUUGCAAUUACUUGUCUCCACUGUGAGACAAACCCCAGCCACAUCUCCAGCACACAAGAACUCCAAAUGCCCGAACCGCAGCUGCCAGGUGUUCCUCCGGAACCUCCUCCCCCAGGAGCUUGCUACAAGUGCCAGAAAUCUGGCCACUGGGCCAAGGAAUGCCCACAGCCCAGGAUUCCUCCUAAGCCACAUCCCAUCUGUGUAGGACCCCACUGAAAAUCAGACUGUUAAACUCACCUGGCAGCCACUCCCAGAGCCCCUGGAACUCCGGCCCAAGGCUCUCUGACUGACUCCUUCCCAGAUCUUCUCGGCUUAGCGGCUGAAGACUGACACUGCCCGAUCGCCUCAGAAGCCCCCUAGACCAUCACGGACGCCGAGCUUUGAGUAACUCUCACAGUGGAAAAUGCCUCCAGUUGUCCUGACUAUAUGUUCUCCGUAGUUUGACCAUUGGCAAGGACACUUCUUGUCACCAUGCAAGCACUUUGUUGCACUAGAGGACCAUUCUUCCCACGAUUCCAGGUAAGGCAGUCUGGGCUCUGUCCCUGGAAGAUGUUGUAUUAUCCAGCAUGUGUUCAUGCUUUUUACCUGUUUAGUGAGUUUCCAUGUUGCCUUCUGUGCUUGCAAGAUGUAUGACUUUUACCAGCUGUCCUUCUUAACCUUUCUGGCUUACAAUAAUCUCAUUUUUUUGACCCUACAAUAAGAUAUAAAGGCUGAAAUAUAUUUGACUAUUUUGUAUAGCUCUCUGUUUUUGCUACUUGUAUUUUGGGG
rnacentral:lncRNA from 10 species